rnacentral:rRNA from 1 species
AUUGAACGCUGGCGGCAUGCCUUACACAUGCAAGUCGAACGGCAGCACGGGAGCAAUCCUGGUGGCGAGUGGCGAACGGGUGAGUAAUAUAUCGGAACGUGCCCAGUCGUGGGGGAUAACGUAGCGAAAGCUACGCUAAUACCGCAUACGAUCUAUGGAUGAAAGCGGGGGAUCGCAAGACCUCGCGCGAUUGGAGCGGCCGAUAUCAGAUUAGGUAGUUGGUGGGGUAAAAGCCUACCAAGCCUUCGAUCUGUAGCUGGUCUGAGAGGACGACCAGCCACACUGGAACUGAGACACGGUCCAGACUCCUACGGGAGGCAGCAGUGGGGAAUUUUGGACAAUGGGCGCAAGCCUGAUCCAGCAAUGCCGCGUGUGUGAAGAAGGCCUGCGGGUUGUAAAGCACUUUCAGUGGGGAAGAACAGGUUCGGGUCAAUACCCGGAGCCCUGACGUUACCACAGAAGAAGCACCGGCUAACUCCGUGCCAG